GGUUAGACGAAGAAUCUAAAUAGAGUGACUUGUUAAUAUAAUUAACAGUUAAUAAUGUAAAGUAAAAUUAAUUUUUUUUAAAGGUGAAAUUUGUAUAAGAAAAUAAAUUAUCUUAACUUAUUUGUAGGAAUUAAAAAAUGAAGAAAAGAGACCAGGAUUAGAUACCCUGUUAUUCUUCAUAAUAUUUAAUGGGGUAGUAAAAGUUAUUCUUCAAACCCAAAGAUUUUGGCGGCACUUUACCCAAACAGAGGAGCUUGUCUUAUAAUCGAUAGUCCCCGUUUUACCUUACCUUUAUUAUUGAGCUUGUAUACCUCCGUUGUCAGAUUACUCUAAAAGGAUGUUUUCUUUACAAAUAUUAUUUUGUACUUCAGGUCAAGGUGCAGUUUAUGUGAAGGAAAUGAUGAGCUACAAUUUUUUUAAAAAAACGAAUAUUAAAUUAAAAUUUGAUUGAAGGUGGAUUUGUUAGUAAAUUUAAUUUAAGAAAAAUUAAUUGAAUAAGGCAAUAAGGUGUGUACAUAUCGCCCGUCACUCUCUCCCCAAGGAGAGAUAAGUCGUAACAAA
rnacentral:rRNA from 1 species